rnacentral:misc_RNA from 1 species
GCGCGGCCGCGGCCCCGUCACGGUCAAGACCGUCACCGCCACCAUGCUCAUCGUCCUCUCCUCCAGCGUCUACAGCAUGGUCAAGAUCCGGAACCGAUCUGAAGGAACCGGGGCUCUCACGCCGACGGAUCAGGUCCUCAUGAGCCGCCAUCUCCUCGAGGCCUCUCUCAUGGGAUAUUCCCUAUUCCUGGCUCUGAUAAUUGACCGCUUACAUCACUACAUCAGAGAGCUACGCUCGUUGAGAAAGAGCAUGGAUGCUGUAAUGAAACAGGACAGGUCAGUGGAAGAAGCAAAAAUGGAGAAUUCAGAGGAGAUUAAAGCUCGAGAUAAACAGAUUGCCCUCUUGACUGAAGAAAUAGAGCAUUUGAAAGUGGAAUCAGAGACGAAGGUGAAGGAUGCCAAGGCUGCAGAAUCUAACGCCAUGGCUCUGAAGAAACAGUCUGAAGGGUUCCUUCUGGAGUAUGACCGCCUGUUGGAGGAGAAUCAGAGUCUUCGGAGUCAGAUGCAAUCAAAUGAUAGUAAGAAGUUCAUUUGAAAACAUGAGAGAAUUUUCCUGGAGCUGAGUUUUUCUCUGAACACCGUGG